GCCAAUUGGAAGACUGGGUCAAUGAUGUAAAGGAGUGGGCAAACGAAUUGAGGUGCUGGUGGCAAGUAUCAAGAGGCGUUCCCAGCGUCUCUAUAAAGAUACAGAUGGCAAGAAAGGUCGUGCCAGGAUCCGCCGCAAGAUCAGGAAAGAGAAGGGGAUCCUGACAUCAGUUGUGGAGAAAUACAACAUAAUGGUUCCAAAAACAAAAACUCUGUGCUUGGAAACCAUUUUGUCUGGUGAGACAGCUUGGCCAUGGCAGCUACCACACAGUGACACUGUUGACAAAAGAAAGGCAUUCCACAUCAUGAUGUCACUAAGGCGACUUCAGGAGGAGCAGAAAAUUGUUGUUGCAGAGAUGAAUAAACAUUGGAAAUAUCUUUCAACUCGUGCUGAGACCCUCUGAGAACUGUCCUGCUUGUUUGCCAGCG